rnacentral:rRNA from 1 species
AGAGCGAACGCUGGCGGCAGGCCUAACACAUGCAAGUCGAGCGCCCGUAGCAAUACGGGAGCGGCAGACGGGAUAGUAACACGUGGGAACGCGCCCUUCGGUUCGGAAUAACUCAGGGAAACUUGAGCUAAUACCGGAUACGCCCUUACGGGGAAAGAUUUAUUGCCGAAGGAACGGCCCGCGUCCGAUUAGCUAGUUGGUGAGGUAAUGGCUCACCAAGGCGACGAUCGGUAGCUGGUCUGAGAGGAUGACCAGCAUCACUGGGACUGAGACACGGCCCAGACUCCUACGGGAGGCAGCAGUGGGGAAUAUUGGACAAUGGGCGCAAGCCUGAUCCAGCCAUGCCGCGUGGAUGAUGAAGGCCUUAGGGUUGUAAAGUCCUUUUAACGGGGAAGUAGUAAUGACGGUACCCGUAGAAUAAGCCCGGCUAACUUCGUGCCAGCAGCCGC